GACGAACGCUGGCGGCGUGCUUAACACAUGCAAGUCGAACGGAAAGGCCCUGCUUUUGUGGGGUGCUCGAGUGGCGAACGGGUGAGUAACACGUGAGUAACCUGCCCUUGUCUUUGGGAUAACUUCAGGAAACUGGGGCUAAUAUCGGAUAGGAGCUCCUGCUGCAUGGGGGGGGUUGGAAAGUUUCGGCGGUUGGGGAUGGACUAGCGGCUUAUCAGCUUGUUGGUGGGGUAGUGGCUUACCAAGGCUUUGACGGGUAGCCGGCCUGAGAGGGUGACCGGCCACAUUGGGACUGAGGUACGGCCCAGACGCCUACGGGAGGCAGCAGUGGGGAAUAUUGCACAGUGGGCGGACGCCUGAUGCAGCAACGCCGCGUGCGGGAUGACGGCCUUCGGGUUGUAAACCGCUUUCGCCUGUGACGAAGCGUGAGUGACGGUAAUGGGUAAAGAAGCACCGGCUAACUACGUG
rnacentral:rRNA from 1 species